GAUGAACGCUGGCGGCGUGCCUAAUACAUGCAAGUCGAGCGAACAGACGAUGAGCUUGCUCCUCUGAUGUUAGCGGCGGACGGGUGAGUAACACGUUGAUAACCUACCUAUAAUACUAGGAUAACUUCAAGAAACCGGAGCUAGUACCGGAUAACAUGGCGAACCGCAUGGAUCAACAGUGAAAGAAGGUCUUGCUGUCACUUAUAGAUGGAUCCGCGCCGCAUUAGCUAGUUGGUAAGGUACCGGCUUACCAAGGCAACGAUGCGUAGCCGAGCUGAUAGGCUGAUCGGCCACACUGGAACUGAGACACGGUCCAGACUCCUACGGGAGGCAGCAGUAGGGAAUCAUGCACAAUGGGCGAAAGCCUGACGGAGCAACGCCGCGUGAGUGAAGAAGGUCUUCGGAUCUUAAAACUCUGUUAUUAGGGAAGAAGAAAUGUGUAAGUAACUAUGCACGUCUUGACGGUACCUAAACAGAAAGCCACGGCUAACUACGUG
rnacentral:rRNA from 1 species